UUUUUUGAGCGAAUCGCGCGGAGAGAGAAGAGUGCAGCGGAGGAGUGAGAGAAAAGGAGAUUUUGUUUCCGCCGUGCCCAGAAUAGCCCAAUAGAAAUCGGAGAAGCUGAUCCAGGAAUUGUAUUUGCCUAAUCUACAUCAGUGUAACUUUGGGUUAGGGUAACAGAGCGAAGAGGAAUACCAGGAGCUUAGUUCGUAGAAGAUGUGCAGUCCUUCCAACCUUCCACGUGUAGUGAUCGAUUACCAUACACACCUAUCGGCUUGAUGUCCUUUUUUUUUUGUCUUUGUCUUGAUUUUAGUCAUUUGUUCUGCACAUACAUGGGAUUUGAGUGAAGUAACAGAGGACGGACUGUAUUGUGGCCACUGAGCUUGCGAAGCCCCUCACUGCUUACUGCAUGCAAUGACAGAAACGAGUUUGGAGUAGAAUCUCAGCCAAAAGAGGCUGAGGAAAGUGUGAGCUCCAUGUUGUGACAAAGCUAAUGUCAAAAAAGGACAGUGGUCUCCUGAGGAAGAUAAAGCUAAGUCUUGGGACUCAUGGAACUGGUGGCAAUUGGAUUCAUCUGCCACAAAAAGCUGGCUUUUAGAUUCUUCAACAAGAAUCAAGUUGACCACAUUAAGGGUGAUCAGAACAGUGGUUUUCUAAUAAAGAAGCCAAGCUGCCGAAAUUGCAGACAGUCACCCCUCAAUUUGGAACUUUGUUUCUUCCAUGACUUGGCAUCUGAGUAAUCGACUGCAAUACUUUGAAGGUUAAGCAAUAUCAGUAUACCAAAGAUACAAAACGAAUUGCUUCUAAAAAGUCAUGGUUCUCUUACGAAUCUGGUCUGGGAAUGGCUUCCUGUGAUUUUGAUCAUUGAUUUAUUUGUAUUAUCCUCCAACACUGUGGCACUCAAAGGUCAGACGAUAAAGUAUUUACAGUCUUGGACAUCAUUUUACACUUUUCAAUUUCAAUAUAUGCAUCACUAUUUAUGCCUGGUAAAUGCUAAAUGCAUAUAUCCACGUAGUUUAGUGUUGUUUAAUGUGAUGUUCAUGAUGUAAAUAGAUACUUCUUCUUGAUUUGAUGUGGAGGUGUGCAUUAGCUAAUAUUAUGUUUUCAUAGCAUUUCUUAAAUUCUCCAUCUGUAAGAUUUUUUAACUUUGGAUGAUGACUGCAGUUGAACAUCUUUCUUUUUCUUCUUUGGGUGAAACAGUGAUAACUCGAUCAGCUAUGAGUAGGUGUAUAGCAGCCUCCUUCAGUACUCAUGUUGUAAAGUUUUUAGUCACACAAAGGUGCUGAACUUGGGAACUUUGAGAUCUUUUCUCACAUGUUGUUUGUUAUAGGAGAGAUCUUCUAUCAUUGUUGUGUCUGAAAUCUCUUUCUUUGAGAAAUGCAGCACUUUUGAAAAUUGUUUUUGUUAUUUCCUGCAAAGGAAGAGGCAGUGACAGAUUAUUAAUAUGAAUGUUGUAAAAUAUGUUGCAGUAAACAUGUAAAAUGUUUGUCAUUAAUGAAAUCGAUAUCUGAUAGCUUUUAGUUCUCCUUACAA